CUAGAUAUACAAAACAUGACAGUCAAUUUUUUCGAGAGUUUGAUCCUGGCUCAGGAUGAACGCUGGCUGUGUGCCUAAUACAUGCAUGUCGAGCGGAGUUCUUCGGAACUUAGCGGCGAAUGGGUGAGUAACACGUACUUAACGUACCCUUUAGUUUGGGAUAACGACUAGAAAUGGUCGCUAAUACCGGAUACUUAUGUUAAUCGCAUGAUUA
rnacentral:rRNA from 1 species